ensembl:antisense Tmem51 opposite strand 1
GGGGAACAUGUCCGACAUGAUGCUCCCGGACACACGGAUACCCAACCCGGGUCCUACCGUGCACUUUUCCGCGCGAGGACGCAGACUCACCCCGAAGGCAGAGGGCCACGCUGGGUCUCUGUUUGCAGACCCGGGGCUGGGGGUUCCGCGACACCCCCACCCCAGGCAAUCGCGGACCGCGGAGCCGGAGCCGGGUAGCAGUGCGUGGAGAGGGUGCGCAGCCCGGGGACCUCUGUGGUGAUCAGCCAGCUCGGCCCAAAGCGCGGAGAGCAGGAGGGAGGGACCGAGGGCGCCCGCAGGAGGCACCGCCCACCUGCCCACCCUGCGCCCUACGCCACCAGGCGGGGACCGAGACCCUGGGGCGGAGCAGGCUGGAGGGCCUGGCCCUGCAACGCAGUGUAGGGUCCCGGACCUCCCAGUCUACGGCUAGGGGAUGGCUUUCUAGAGGGGCACUUGCGGGAUAAUGGGAGCUGGGAGUCCCUAUUCGGUGACCUCACCUGGUUGCAAACUCACCUUCUUGUGAGCGCAGGCGGCCGCUCCUGCGACUCCAGGCAGCCAAGCCCAACCAUGGGCGGAGGAGGAAAGGAGGAAGGAAGCGAAGUUUUCCCAGCCUCUCAGCUCAUGCUUUCGACCAGCUUCCCACUCUCUGGUGUCCCGGACGCCCUCCAGAUCGCCACUUCGAGCCCCAGCCUAGCUCGAGAGUGUCCCCGUAAGGGGCGCGUUCCCAGCUUGGCAGAAAACUUUCCAGCGAAUCACAGGCUGGCUUCUCCCUCCGCCUGGAAACGGGGAGGGUGAUCUGAACUGAGUGGCGCCUCACCUGCCUGGAAGUUUGCCUGGGAACCCCACGACUCCAGGCACAGAUCUGCGUGCCCUGCCAGCUCUGAAUUCCGACCUGGGUGGCUUCGUGGGUACGCAUCCAGCUCUUUGAAGUUCAAGGCCUGAGAAGUCCCUGGGCAGCCGGGUGUCAGAGAAUUCGCCUGGGGUUAAAAGGCGCCUCCUACUGGGGGGUGACCGCUUUCUGGAUAAACCGCACAGCUUGGCUGCAGCCAAGUUCACUUGGAAUUCCUGGGUACUCCUGGCCGGCAUAUUUCCCGAGCUGUAUACUUCCAGAGUCCAACCACACUCUAUACACUGCUACUUCUUAUUUGCACUAAUAGGUAGCAAGGGUUUAAUUGGAAAAUGGCUUGUGAUUUGAGAGGUGGAAAAGGCAUUUUUGGAAACAGGCUCGGAGCACAAGAAUAACUGCUAACAUCUCACGUCCUUACUCUGAACCCGGCCUGGGUGACCCCCUCCCCCACCCCGCCCCACACCCUGAACAUUGUCCCUUCUCGACCCGGCACAGCCUGGGCCUGUAGUUUGCAUUUCACCCUGACAGACUCGAGGCAGGUCAUUCAGAGAGUCCCAGAGGUGGAAGCAAGGAAUACUGGUACUUUUCCAUGCCGGGAUCCAGCCCCAGACCCACCCCUACACCGCAUCUAAUCUAGCUGGGCAGGUUCGUCUCUUGCAAGUGGGGAGAGAGACCAAGGACUUAACAGCUAAAGCUGAGCUAAGAGGAAAACCAAGAGUCGCAUCACACACUGUCCAACCUUCUGCCUUAAUAUGCUCUUUUUUCUUACAUCUUCCCACCCAGGAGCUGCCUGCCUCCUUAUCUCACCACACUGCUACCUCACCAGAACUGGAGGGGAGGCCUCAAAAAUGAGAAGAUUCUAUUCUUGGAUCUGCCAGCACUGGGGAUGUUUUGAUUUAAGCUGAGGGUCUCUGCAGGACCCUGGCUCUGAAUACCCAUGCCAGGAAUUUCCAAGAGCUGGCAGAAUAAUGGGCACCCAAAACUGUUCACAUCUCAGUCUCUGGAACCCAGGACCUUAAGUGGUAGACUAUAGGUAUGAUCAAGCUGUGAAUCUGGAGAUCGGGGUCACCCAAAGCGGUCACAGGGGCUUUUGUCAGUGGAAGGUAGGAGGGUCGGUAGUAUCUGAGAUGUUACGAGGAAGAAGGAAUCGUAGAAAGCUUCUGAAAAGGAUCCUGUGACAGCCAAGGGAUGUUAGCUGCCUAGAAAAGCUGGAAAUGGUAGGAAUAGAUUAUGGGUAGAAAGCCCAGAAGGGUCUUCCCACUUGUUAAGGGUCCUCACACUUGUUACUGACUUUAGCCUGGGAGACGCUGGUACCUGACCUCCCGAACUGUAACCUUGUUUCUCUAAGCUCUGCAGCAGUUCCUGGCAAUUUGUUACAGUAGCCACGGGGAAUGGAUACAUCUAGCACUUUCAGCUGGAUAGGCCAAUGCUGAUUUCACCAGCCCUUCUGCUGACAGUCCACUGGAAAGUUCUUCCCUCAAGAGACAACAUGAUAUAGCUUGAUUCAUGGAUUUAGAAAGAGGAUAAGAUUUCAUCAGAUCUGCCUUUAUUUGUUAUUUGGCUUCUCGGCUAUUUUGAACUGUGUGACCUUGGGAAAAUGUCUUAUUUUCUCUGGGCCCCAGUUUCUUUUUUUAAAUGUAAAAACAGUGAUGCUGGUUAGGUACACAGGAGGCACAUGCCUAAGGCCCCAGAUACUUCAGAUGCUGAGGCAGGAGGAUGGCACUUUUGAGGCCACCUUGGAAAACCUUCUUUUGUUGUCAGUGAGUAUGGAAACGUGGGCCUCAUGUCUGGGAACUGAGUACUUUUCCAUUACACUGCAUCUCCAGACCUAGCUUGAGUAACUUAAUGAAACUCUCUCCAAAAACAAUAAACUAAUUAAGUUAAAUAAGUCUUAAAAUAGGGACUGAAGAUGUAGCUCAGUGGUAGAGUGUUUGCCCUACCUGUGUUUCUUCCCAGCAGGGCGUAAGCCUCAGUGGGGUGACACAUUCUUGAAAUCCUAGCACUAAGGAGGUGGAGGCAGGAGGAUCAGAACUGCAAGUCAUCCUCGUGUAUACAGCUAAGUUUGAGGCCAGCCUGGGCUACGUGAUACCCUGUCUCGUAUUGACGAUUACAAUAAUGAAAUGCAUAGCCUGCGAGUGGCCCUGGGUCCCAUCCUCAGCACAUCAAGAAGAAAACAGAAUAAAAAUAGUGAUGCUAAAAAUACUCUCCCUUGCAGGAUCAAUAUGAGUAUCAGAGGCAGCAGCAGGAUGCGAUGCUCUGUGUGAGUCCCCGUGAGAUCUGAACUGCAGUUGCUGAGAACUGAACUGCCCCCUCGGGAACACAGGACUCCUUAGAGCAGGCUUGUCUGAUGGACCGUUCCUGAACUCUGGACUCAUGAUGCUGGAGAAUGAACAUCUAGCUGGGCUUGGUGAUGCACAUGUGUAAUCCCAGUGCCUUUGGAAACUGAGGCAGGGGGAUCAGAAGAUCAAGGUCACCCUUCCUGAGAAUAGCUUUGUGUGGUUCUGUCUCAACACACACACCAAAAAUCAAAAANA